GUGGGGAAUCUUGCGCAAUGCGCGAAAGCGUGACGCAGCAACGCCGCGUGGGGGAAGAAGGCCUUCGGGUUGUAAACCUCUUUCAGUUGGGACGAAGCCUCGUUGGUUAAUAGCUGACUGGGGUGACGGUACCUUCAGAAGAAGCCCCGGCUAACUACGUGCCAGCAGCCGCGGUAAUACGUAGGGGGCAAGCGUUGUCCGGAAUCAUUGGGCGUAAAGAGCGUGUAGGCGGCCCGAUAAGUCCGCUGUGAAAGUCCAGGGCUCAACCCUGGGAUGCCGGUGGAUACUGUCGGGCUCGAAUCCGGAAGAGGUGAGUGGAAUUCCUGGUGUAGCGGUGAAAUGCGCAGAUAUCAGGAGGAACACCAAUGGCGAAGGCAGCUCACUGGGACGGUAUUGACGCUGAGACGCGAAAGCGUGGGGAGCAAACAGGAUUAGAAACCCUGGUAGUCC
rnacentral:rRNA from 1 species